UGCGUAGGCGGAUUGUUAAGUCAGUGGUGAAAGUCUACGGCUCAACCGUAGAAGUGCCAUUGAUACUGGCAGUCUUGAGUACAGUAGAGGUAGGCGGAAUUUAUGGUGUAGCGGUGAAAUGCAUAGAUACCAUAAAGAACACCUAUAGCGAAGGCAGCUUACUAUGCUGUAACGGACGCUGAGGCACGAAAGCGUGGGGAGCGAACAGGAUUAGAUACCCUGGUAGUCC
rnacentral:rRNA from 1 species